GUGACCCCAGGUCAAGCGGGACUACCCGCUAAGUUUAAGCAUAUCAAUAAGCGGAGGA
rnacentral:rRNA from 1 species